CCGGUAGGAUUUAGGGGCAUCUAGCGGUAAGAUUGCAGACUACGUCCAAACGAACACCCCUCGCCCUCCCCUACAAACGUGUAGGCGAAGCUGCUGAAAAAACGCCAAAGACUGUCUCCAGAGCCACGACAGCAUAGAAGCGGACCAACUCCACCUGUAGAUGUAAAGGACUCAUUCUAAGCCUCCACCCGGCCUGCGGCAGAGUCGAGGCGGCUGAUGAAGUGAUGUUUAUGUCUGCGGUGGUGAAGGUCAGCUCUCCCUGGUGUGUGUUGUCAUUCAGUCGGUCUACCGCAGAACAAAAUGUUUCAGGGACAUAAAAGUGGAGCUGUGUGAGCAGAAGGUUCCUCUCCAAAGAGCCCCAGGCAGACCUACCUCACCUAGAACCAAACCACGAUGAGCCCAGGGCCAGAUCCAGAGAGGGAGCAAGAGGACCGACGACCCUCUGCUUGAGAAUGUGAGGCGUAGAACCAUAUGGAGAGUGCAGACAAGUGGAAGCACAAUCGAGUACGGAAAGAAGUCCACAUGGAGAUAAAAUAAGCGUUGGCAUUCAGUCUGUGAUCUUCUUUGGGGAAACUUUCUCCUGAAACGACAUCGGCAGCGGCAACAACAGUUCGUUUGGGACAAAUAAAGCCUUAAAUGAGAGCCAGAUGAUCCGUUAACGGUACAAAGACCCAACAUCAUCAGCUGCUCGCCAUCAUCAGGACCCAGCGGGACCCUGGAGACGUCACAACAGCCAAUCGCUGUGAUCCUCACCUGGACGCAUGGGGGACGUGGCAGGCAUCUGUUUCCCGGUGUUGUUGUCCUGUGUUUUGCCGUGACACAGUUUGGAGACCGUCCUCCAAAGCUCGGUGAACUCUUCAUGUGUGUUCGGCUCUGACAUCAGUCAUCAAACCAGCACAAGCAGCUUCCGGACUGUUUGACCCAGAAAAAGCAGCUCUAGACAUUUUAACAGGAAGUUUUUGGCACGACAACAGGUGUGCUGAGGCCCGGAGGAGGCGGAGGAGGGGGUUCCUCCAGUCGUCCACCCUGCAGAGCCGCUCUCUCCUGGGGUAAGGAUGACAGGAAGUCAGCCAGAUGGCACCGAACAGGUCUGCAGCAUGUGACCUCCUCUCUGGAGAGGCAGGAAGGACGAGGAGGAGGAGGAGGGAGGCUGAGAUGAAGGAAAGGAGAGAUGGCAGACAUGCUGCAGCUGAUUGAAUCACGCUGGAGUGAAACCAAGUCUUCUGUGAUACCAGAUCAGAGGAGCUCCAGCGAGGGAAACGUCCUGCAAAUUACUGCGGAAAGUGAAGUUAAACAGACUGAAAAAAAGGAGCUCAUUCAACAUGAUGGAUAAUGCCUCUCGCAGCACCUCGCGAAAACAAUUUGGCCGCUGUACUUGGGGGGAAACCUAAGAGGCGAGCCGCGCCGCACACAUCAUUUUUCAGCUUCCAGCGCUCAUAAGAGCUGGGGUUGUAAAGUGACUUCUGGGAAAGGGACGCCUUGAGUCACCUCAUGGUAAAGCCUACAGACUGUCAGAAUCAGGCCUCGGAGGUCAGGGGUUACAAGUUGAAGGGGUCAGGCAAGUCAUGACUGGAUGAGGUCAAUGUGAGGUUACUUCCGUUUGGGGAUUCCAGACUAUUCCUGUCCAUCAUAGAAGCCAAUCCAGAAGACCUCUUCCACCCGGAGCCUCAGCCUGAGUCCCUCCUGUCAGAGUGAUGUACAGCAGAAGGCAAUAGAUGCUGAGAGUGCAAGAGAUUGAAGGCAGUCUGUUGGGAAAAAUGUGCACACACACACACACACACACACACACACACACACACACACACACACACACACACACACACACACACACACACACACACACACACACACACACACACACACACACACACACACACACGUAUACACACA